GAUGAAGAACGUAGCGAAAUGCGAUACUUGGUGUGAAUUGCAGAAUCCCGUGAACCAUCGAGUCUUUGAACGCAAGUUGCGCCCGAAGCCUCGGCUAAGGGCACGUCUGCCUGGGCGUCACGCAUUGCGUCUCCCCCAAACCGCCAAGGCGGAGGGGAAGGAAGAUGGCUUCCCGUGCCUCACCCGGCGCGGUUGGCCUAAAUUUGGAGCCCGCGGCACUUAGCUCUCGUGGCGAUAGGUGGUGAACAAGGCCUUGGCCGUGCAAACAACCCGCUGCGAAUCUCUACGUCACGUGCGCUCGUCGGACCCUUUGAAGUUGCCUUCGGUGACUUAAAACCUUUGCGACCCCAGGUCAGGCGGGGCUACCCGCUGAAUUUAAGCAUAUCAAUAAGCGGAGGA
rnacentral:misc_RNA from 1 species